AAAGUCGUAACAAGGUCUCCGUUGGUGAACCAGCGGAGGGAUCAUUACAGAGUUGUAAAACUCCCAAACCCAUGUGAACAUACCUGUUGCCUCGGUGGCCUACCCGGUAGCUACCCUGUAGCUACCCUGUAGUCCGCCGACGGAACUUAAAACUCUUGUUUUCAAUUGUCAUUUCUGAGAAUAAAACAAAUAAGUUAAAACUUUCAACAACGGAUCUCUUGGUUCUG
rnacentral:misc_RNA from 1 species